rnacentral:misc_RNA from 1 species
UUAGUAAUAUAAUCUCUUUAUUAAUAUGUAGAUUCUAUACAUCAGAAAUGUAAUUUAAUGUCUUGCUCAUCGGAUUGUAUAUAUAUGAAGUGAAACAAGGAACAAAAAUCAAAGUAUGCACACUUCAGGUGUGAGCAAAUAUCAAAGGAAAAAUACACAGAAAAAGACAACCGUGAAAGCAAUUUUUGCCUGUCAUUUUGUGCUCCAAAGCAUGUGCCUUUGAAUUAUAUCAUCAUCUCUAGGUCCCUCCAUGAAUCCGCAUCCAUCCAUCCACCCACCUUUCAAUGUCUCUUUGUCUUCAAAGCACUCUUUCUUUAGUCUCUCUCUUUCAUUUUUUUUCUUUCCUUUAACUUUCCUCUUCCUUAAUAAAACUCAUGCGUUAAAUCAUCAAGAAAUUAAUGGAAAAAUCUAGUUGAUAUAAUUUAAAGAAAAAUAUCAACCCACAAAAAAAAGAAAAGAAAUUAUGAUAAUAUGCAAUUUGGACUGAAUCAUGUACAGUUCCUUUCUGAUUAGAGCAAAUAUAUAUCAAUCACUUCUUCUUGUUCUUAUCUUUGCCAUUGAAGAAGAUUGAACCCAAGCCAAAUAGAUUCCCUGAUGGAACAUUCAACACAGGAUUAACGCGAACUCCAUUGCCAUAAGAUCCAUAGUUCUUCUUUAAUGGAGGUUUUAGGUAACUGGUUGAAGAUGAUGAUGAUUGAUGCUUCAUGACUGCUUGUUUGCGCUGCUUAUGAUUAUAACUACUAUAGCCAUCUCUUGACAAUGGCACCCUCUUUACGCUGCCAGGUGCAGACCCAGUAGAGUUGCUUCUUGAUAGAAGUGGUAAAGGGCAUAAGCUUCUUCCAUAGCCACUCACACAAUUCAAACUGCUACUCCUCUUGAACCGCCAAAAUGACUUCGAAAUUCGCUUUUCCUCUGUCAAUUCAUCACUUUCACCCUUCAUUUCCUUCAUCCCCUCUUUAAUAUUCAUGCUUGAAAUAUCUUCGCGUAGAGCAUGUGGUGGAGGUGAUGAAGACUGAUCCAUCUGCUUCGUAGGGGCAGUCUUUUUCUUGAUUACUGUAGGAAGGAUCUUUCCAUCUGAGAAAAGCUCAUCUGCUGGUGAUGAUUCUUGAUCGAAGCUCUUGCGAGUACAGAAGUCAAAAUCGAUGCUGCUCACAGAGUUUGAUCGAAGGGGGCGUUGCUCAACAGGAAUAAUAUCUGAAAGACACAGGUCAUGAGAAAAAGAAAUUCUUGGACUGAUACCAGCAGAAUUAUCUGAACAUAAUUCAAUUGCCAUUUCUUCAACUUCUUCAAGAAAACAAGAAAAAACAUUCAAGCCCAAUACUAAAUGGGAAGUUCUGACACAAUUCCAAGGUCAAGGAUCUAGGUUUUCUUAUCAAAGAAGAAACUAUUAAUAUUGGAUAAAACCUAACAAAGACUAUAUUUAAAUGACAUAACAACAAGCUAGAAAGUGGAAUAUCUUUUAUAAGGACGAGAGAAUAUGAAAGGGAACGCAAUAAGGAGUUUGGAGAAGGGAAUUCUGUUCUGGGUAACAAAAGAAAGACCUAUAAACUGUAUAAAUGGUACAAAUCCCAAGUUUCAAAAGAUGAUUAUCGACGAAGAUGAGGACGCGCGAAGUGAAAUGUAAAGACUGAGUUAGAACUUUGAAUCAGAGAUUUCAAGAGACUGAUGAGUGAAUGCUGAGACUGAGAUGAGAGAGCUGUUGCUUGUUUUGUUUGUUUUAGAAAGUAAGAGAUAAAAAGACAGACGUGAAGAGAGCUUCUAGCACUAAAAACCGGCCUUAGGUGGAGUUGGUUAUAGGACAAUAAUGGUCUGCUGCUAGAAACGGGUAGGCAUGUUUCCG